AGAGCGCAGACUCCCAUCGAACCUGGCCAAACAAUGAGAAGAGAGUAAAACAUCGAAUGUAGAGCAUUGUGUCAGGUCAAAGGUUUUGCCUUUACGUUUACCUGUGUUUGUUUUUUUUUCCUUUUGGCCAAAUGCGAUUUAUGUCGACCGGUGGCAAGGAGAUGAUGUCCUUGCCAUGCCUUUUGUUUAGGCCUUGCUUAGACUCGCGGUAUUUAUUGCGGUAGGUCGUGUUUUUUUCAUUGCCUAUGACUUCCCCUUUUUAGUUUUUGAUUAUUUUGUUUCUGCGAUUUAAGUGUCAAUAAAAAAUGUGAAUAUAUUUGUUUUGACUUAGUUCGGUCUAGACCCAUAUAGAAAAAUAGUUAAUCGUAAAUUUUUUAAGGCUCCGAAUUUGUCUGUUUUUUAAGCUGAUCACGAUGUCUUAUAUAUUCAAUCCUGGCUAUGUGGGUCCUUGUCCUCCCUGCUGUAGUUUCAGUUGCGGACCUUGCUGCGGGCCUUGCGGUGGAUCUUCCUGUGGCCCAAGUUGUGAUCCCUGCUGUGGAUCCUGUGGACCUUGCUGUGGGCCCUGCGGUUCUUAUCGCCGAUGCUGCUAAAGAAUUUAGACAAAUUUCGAGCCUUAAAUCUAUUAAAUAAAAUUGUUAUCGCCUUCCUCUA